ensembl:snRNA U6 U6 spliceosomal RNA
GCUCGCUUCAGUGGCAUGUGUACAAAUUGGAAUGAUCCAGAGAAGAUCAGCAUGCCCCUGAGCAAGGACGACAUGCAAUUCGUGAAGCCUUCCACAGAUCU